rnacentral:tRNA from 1 species
GGGGCUAUAGCUCAGCUGGGAGAGCGCUUGCAUGGCAUGCAAGAGGUCAGCGGUUCGGCUCCACCA